UAUCCAGUUUUUCUUUUUAUUCUUUUUUUUUAUGUAGGCUGAAGCAAUUGUUACAAUGUACAGGGAGGCACAGUUACAGCAAAAAGUCAUUUAAACAAUGUAAAACAACCUGCACAGGGAGAGGUCAACUCUCAGUACAAACUAGCAACUAAACACAAGAGCAGAAGAGUCACGGAUUCCCAAUGACUCGUUUCUUCUGCCAUGACACUGCCAUACAAUAUGCAAAAGAAACACAAAACAGAACAACAAAAAAAUAGGGCAUAAUCCUAUGGUGAACGUGGGCGAGAGUCUCAUACUAAAACGUUUAAGGGCAAUGACAACCACAUAUUUCAUACUAGCCACUUAGUUCAUUUCAGACAUGGAUAACUGUUUCCUUAUAUUAAAAAAAAGGUGGACCCGUCAGCUCUACACGCGGAGGGGGCGGCCAUUUUGUGGGCUACAUCAACACUCCCGAGUAGGCAGCCAAUUGAUUCACUAGAAGCUAGGGAUAUCGCUUGGUACAAAAUUUCUACUAUGAUUUCGCCUAGCUCGCCGUGUACCUAAAGGUUUUCAUAUGAAUCUUGUUCAAAGUGGACGUGCAGUGGGGGCAGCCAUUUUGUGGUCUGUACCUACAGUCACAAGUACGUAGUCAAUCAACAUACUAUUUAGAGACAACCCCUUUCAGUUGAGAGCCGCCGAGGCAAUCAGUUGAUUACCGUGGGGCUGACUCCCGUCAAGCAAGUUGAUUUUGGCAGGAGAAACGGCCUGUCAUGCAUUUUACAGUGCGGCAGCUACUGCACAAAACAUGAAGUAUUACGUGGAUCGCUGAGGUCCACAAGAGCUUGGGGACCAUCAUCUACAAUGGUCUGACAAGGUUUUGCAUUUAUUACAAAACCCCUUUAAGCAUUAGUGGUAUUCUUAAGGGAACAUUUCUUCAGACAAAAUGGCUGCCUACUGUGAUUUUAUCAACUUCAUCACUUCCUGUGAGAGUGAACAAAAUGGCAUCCUUUGAUUUCAGUUAGCUUGUUAUGUACUCACAGGGUGGAUUAUUUCUAGAGCCAAAUGCACAGGGGGCAGCCAUUUUGUAGCCUGUACCAAUAUCCACGGGCAGGCAACCAAUUCGCUAGAGACCAUAACAUGUUUGAGCCAAAGUGGUAAUUCUUAGGUCGCUUGCAUACGUCUCCAAUUAAAGGUGCAUUUUAGGGUCUGUAUUAUAGUUGCAAUAUCUGCCCCUAAUGAGGUUCUACUGAAGCGGACUUAGUGCUCCUGUGGUUCUACUGAACAAGACUCAUAUGUUGAUGUGAGUAUAAAGCCCAUACUACAGCCAUGUAAAAAAAGGCCUUUGGCCAAGACAAAAUGACUGUCCUCUCUAAUUUUAGGUAGCUUGCCAUGUACACUUAGUACGCUUACUACAAAAUGGCUGCCAUAUCGGUGUUCAUCAUGCUUGCUAUGAACUCAAACAGUGGAUGGCUGGUCAGGCUUUUCUGGAUUUGGAAAGAAAAACCUCAUGGGAUUGAUAUAAAAAAACUGACUUUUUUCCCUAUUAUCAUGUCAUUUAAGUAUGCUGUACUGCGACAUAACAUCUUGAAAGGAAUCACAGCAGCGUACGUCUUCAUACAUGAAACACAACAACUUCACAUGUUACUUCACAUCGAUAGCCAACAAGGAAUUUUGCAGAGUUGGUUUUCUGAGACUAGCACCGUUGACAAUAUUGCAUUUUGGCAUCAUUUAUCCAAUGAGCCUGGGGGGCUCGGGCGUUGGUAACGUGCUGUGUACUUCCCCUCUAAAUCCCGUCUGCCAGUCCUUACCCUGAAAUGCGUUUCUACAAGUGAUAUUGAUGUAGAAAAAAUAUUUAUCAAUAUCGAUGCCAUUUAUAGAUAGAAAAGGGGACCUUGUGUUGGGGAGGGCUUUUUAAAAAAAGGUCCUUGGGAGGCGAGGGAAGGGACUUAAGCGCUAUACAUGGCGGCCUGGCAUCUGCAACAUCUCUGUUUAUAAUGAGGUCUGCAAUCUAAUUGAAUGUGAUUCUAGGUACCCGAGGGAUCAAUUAGCAUUUUUUUUAUUUUAAAAGAAAUUGAUGCCAAAUGCUAUGGACCUCAUCUAUUAAAAGAAAAAUACAAAACAUAAAAACCCUUCAUUUCUAAAAAUUUCUAAAAUGAAAGAAACAUUAAACAUAGACACUUUUCCCCCUCUUCGAGAUGGUAUGAGGUCCGGUAAGUGGUCAUUUUGAUGGUGCAACCCUUUGAGUGUUAUUUUCCCCUCACUUUAUAGAUAUAUAAUUUCUUAUAUAUUACUUUGCCAACAUGGAGAACCAUCAAUCCAGUGCCAAACAUCUCAGGUACCCAAAUAGUGGCCCUCAGACCAUUGACUGAUCACUUUUUUAUACACAGGGCAGAAUUUACUCUGGAGCUGUAGAGUUCAUCCUGAUUUUCUGGCACCAUCUUCUCACAUCCAGCUGACCAUAGCUGUCUCAGUGAAUAUCUCAAAAAGAUUCUACAUUUUUGGAAUCCCAUCAGGGCAGAAGUUCAAGAAUUGUUAAAACUCUACAUUUGUAAAAUUGGCUCCAUUUUAUGAUAUUGAUUCGAGAGUCACUGUAUGUCCAAAUGGCCUAAAACCAUUUCACUGGUUUCUCUACCCGGAUCUUCCAUUUUCCAAAAACUUCUAUAGAUUUCAUUUGACCUAUUAAAGUAGGGGGGGAGGGAUCAGUGUAAUUAGUAUUAUUCUAUAUACAUAAAAAAAAAUUGUGCUACAGUGCUAUUUCCUACCAUUAAACAAGUCAUAAAAUACAUAACAUAUAACCCAGAGAAUGUCCUCGAAACUGAAUUUUCCUUCGUUCCAUUUAAGUCCUGUGCCAAAUUAGUGUAAAAAAAUGUGAAAAAA